UUCCUUAAGCUUAAUAUAUAAGGUAAUUUCUGCCCUAUGUUUAUAUAAAUGGCCGCAGUAUUAUGACUGUGCUAAGGUAGCAUAAUAAUUUGUCUUUUAAUUAAAGACUGGAAUGAAUGAAUUUACAAAUAAUUACUUUAUUAUAAAAAGAAAUAAAAUUUAUACUUUUGGUGAAAAUACCAAAUUAUACAAGAAGGACAAGAAGACCCUAUAGAGCUUAAAAUUUAUUUUUAGUUGGGGCGACUAAAGAAUUUAUAUAACUUCUUUUUUAUUUAAGAACUACUAUUCUUUUUAUUAACUUUUAAAAUUAAGAAUAAGCUACCUUAGGGUUAACAGGCUUAAAUUCUUUAAGAGUCCAUAUUGACAAGAUUUUUAGCACCUCGAUGUUGGCUUAGAAAUUCUACUUAUUGCAAAAAAUAAGAAAGAAGGUUUGUUCACCCUUUAAAUUUCUACGUGAUCUGAGUUU
rnacentral:rRNA from 1 species